rnacentral:misc_RNA from 1 species
GCCACUGAAUGAUAAAAGGAGGUAUUCCGUUCCCCUUCCACAAUCCACCUGUCUCUAGCUUUCUGGAACCACAACAUUUCUUCCUGAGCCAAAACCAAAUCUAACUCAUCUCUAAGCUUCCUAUCCAACUUCAGUAGCCCAUUGUGAUGAUUAGACUUCAAUCGGAUUUGGAUCCCUCUGAUACGAGAUAAUAACCUUCGUUUUUGUUGACAAAUAUUACCAAAUAUUUGCUUUCGCCAGAGUCUUUCUCUUAUGUUUAUUAUGUUGUAAAGGACAUCUA